AUUGAACGCUGGCGGCAGGCCUAACACAUGCAAGUCGAACGAGUGGCGGACGGGUGAGUAAUGUCUGGGCAACUGCCCGAUGGAGGGGGAUAACUACUGGAAACGGUAGCUAAUACCGCAUACCAUCGGGUGUGCCCCGAUGGGAUUAGCUCGUAGGUGUGGUAACGGCUCACCUAGGCGCCGCUCCCUAGCUGGUCGGGGAGUAGGACCAUCCAAACUGGAACUGAGACACGGGCCAGACUCCUACGGGAGGCAGCAGUGGGGAAUAUUGCACAAUGGGCGCAAUCCUGAUGCAGCCAUGCCGCGUGUAUGAAGAAGGCCUUCGGGUUGUAAAGUACUUUCAGCGAGGAGGCGUUACUCGCAGAAGAAGCACCGGCUAACUACGUGCCAGCAGCCGCGGUAAUAC
rnacentral:rRNA from 1 species